rnacentral:rRNA from 1 species
GGAUCAUUACUGAGUUUACGCUCUACAACCCUUUGUGAACAUACCUACAACUGUUGCUUCGGCGGGUAGGGUCUCCGCGACCCUCCCGGCCUCCCGCCUCCGGGCGGGUCGGCGCCCGCCGGAGGAUAACCAAACUCUGAUUUAACGACGUUUCUUCUGAGUGGUACAAGCAAAUAAUCAAAACUUUUAACAACGGAUCUCUUGGUUCUGGCAUCGAUGAAGAACGCAGCGAAAUGCGAUAAGUAAUGUGAAUUGCAGAAUUCAGUGAAUCAUCGAAUCUUUGAACGCACAUUGCGCCCGCCAGCAUUCUGGCGGGCAUGCCUGUUCGAGCGUCAUUUCAACCCUCAAGCUCUGCUUGGUGAUGGGGCCCUACAGCCGAUGUAGGCCCUCAAAGGUAGUGGCGGACCCUCCCGGAGCCUCCUUUGCGUAGUAACUUUACGUCUCGCACUGGGAUCCGGAGGGACUCUUGCCGUAAAACCCCCCAAUUUUCCAAAGGUUGACCUCGGAUCAGGUAGGAAUACCCGCUGAACUUAAGCAUAUCAAUAAGCGGAGGACCUGUGUGAAAUGU